GGUUAAGCGACUAAGCGUACACGGUGGAUGCCCUGGCAGUCAGAGGCGAUGAAGGACGUGCUAAUCUGCGAAAAGCGUCGGUAAGGUGAUAUGAACCGUUAUAACCGGCGAUGUCCGAAUGGGGAAACCCAGUGUGUUUCGACACACUAUCAUUAACUGAAUCCAUAGGUUAAUGAGGCGAACCGGGGGAACUGAAACAUCUAAGUACCCCGAGGAAAAGAAAUCAACCGAGAUUCCCCCAGUAGCGGCGAGCGAACGGGGAGGAGCCCAGAGCCUGAAUCAGUGUGUGUGUUAGUGGAAGCGUCUGGAAAGGCGCGCGAUACAGGGUGACAGCCCCGUACACAAAAAUGCACAUGCUGUGAGCUCGAUGAGUAGGGCGGGACACGUGGUAUCCUGUCUGAAUAUGGGGGGACCAUCCUCCAAGGCUAAAUACUCCUGACUGACCGAUAGUGAACCAGUACCGUGAGGGAAAGGCGAAAAGAACCCCGGCGAGGGGAGUGAAAAAGAACCUGAAACCGUGUACGUACAAGCAGUGGGAGCCCUGAUUUAUCAGGGUGACUGCGUACCUUUUGUAUAAUGGGUCAGCGACUUAUAUUCUGUAGCAAGGUUAACCGAAUAGGGGAGCCGGAGGGAAACCGAGUCUUAACUGGGCGUUAAGUUGCAGGGUAUAGACCCGAAACCCGGUGAUCUAGCCAUGGGCAGGUUGAAGGUUGGGUAACACUAACUGGAGGACCGAACCGACUAAUGUUGAAAAAUUAGCGGAUGACUUGUGGCUGGGGGUGAAAGGCCAAUCAAACCGGGAGAUAGCUGGUUCUCCCCGAAAGCUAUUUAGGUAGCGCCUCGUGAAUUCAUCUCCGGGGGUAGAGCACUGUUUCGGCAAGGGGGUCAUCCCGACUUACCAACCCGAUGCAAACUGCGAAUACCGGAGAAUGUUAUCACGGGAGACACACGGCGGGUGCUAACGUCCGUCGUGAAGAGGGAAACAACCCAGACCGCCAGCUAAGGUCCCAAAGUCAUGGUUAAGUGGGAAACGAUGUGGGAAGGCCCAGACAGCCAGGAUGUUGGCUUAGAAGCAGCCAUCAUUUAAAGAAAGCGUAAUAGCUCACUGGUCGAGUCGGCCUGCGCGGAAGAUGUAACGGGGCUAAACCAUGCACCGAAGCUGCGGCAGCGACACUGUGUGUUGUUGGGUAGGGGAGCGUUCUGUAAGCCUGCGAAGGUGUGCUGUGAGGUAUGCUGGAGGUAUCAGAAGUGCGAAUGCUGACAUAAGUAACGAUAAAGCGGGUGAAAAGCCCGCUCGCCGGAAGACCAAGGGUUCCUGUCCAACGUUAAUCGGGGCAGGGUGAGUCGACCCCUAAGGCGAGGCCGAAAGGCGUAGUCGAUGGGAAACAGGUUAAUAUUCCUGUACUUGGUGUUACUGCGAAGGGGGGACGGAGAAGGCUAUGUUGGCCGGGCGACGGUUGUCCCGGUUUAAGCGUGUAGGCUGGUUUUCCAGGCAAAUCCGGAGAAUCAAGGCUGAGGCGUGAUGACGAGGCACUACGGUGCUGAAGCGACAAAUGCCCUGCUUCCAGGAAAAGCCUCUAAGCAUCAGGUAACAUCAAAUCGUACCCCAAACCGACACAGGUGGUCAGGUAGAGAAUACCAAGGCGCUUGAGAGAACUCGGGUGAAGGAACUAGGCAAAAUGGUGCCGUAACUUCGGGAGAAGGCACGCUGAUAUGUAGGUGAAGCGACUUGCUCGUGGAGCUGAAAUCAGUCGAAGAUACCAGCUGGCUGCAACUGUUUAUUAAAAACACAGCACUGUGCAAACACGAAAGUGGACGUAUACGGUGUGACGCCUGCCCGGUGCCGGAAGGUUAAUUGAUGGGGUCAGCGCAAGCGAAGCUCUUGAUCGAAGCCCCGGUAAACGGCGGCCGUAACUAUAACGGUCCUAAGGUAGCGAAAUUCCUUGUCGGGUAAGUUCCGACCUGCACGAAUGGCGUAAUGAUGGCCAGGCUGUCUCCACCCGAGACUCAGUGAAAUUGAACUCGCUGUGAAGAUGCAGUGUACCCGCGGCAAGACGGAAAGACCCCGUGAACCUUUACUAUAGCUUGACACUGAACACUGGUCCUUGAUGUGUAGGAUAGGUGGGAGGCUUUGAAGUGUGGACGCCAGUCUGCAUGGAGCCGUCCUUGAAAUACCACCCUUUAAUGGCUGGUGUUCUAACGUGGGCCCGUAAUCCGGGUUGCGGACAGUGUCUGGUGGGUAGUUUGACUGGGGCGGUCUCCUCCUAAAGAGUAACGGAGGAGCACGAAGGUUGGCUAAUCCUGGUCGGACAUCAGGAGGUUAGUGCAAUGGCAUAAGCCAGCUUGACUGCGAGCGUGACGGCGCGAGCAGGUGCGAAAGCAGGUCAUAGUGAUCCGGUGGUUCUGAAUGGAAGGGCCAUCGCUCAACGGAUAAAAGGUACUCCGGGGAUAACAGGCUGAUACCGCCCAAGAGUUCAUAUCGACGGCGGUGUUUGGCACCUCGAUGUCGGCUCAUCACAUCCUGGGGCUGAAGUAGGUCCCAAGGGUAUGGCUGUUCGCCAUUUAAAGUGGUACGCGAGCUGGGUUUAGAACGUCGUGAGACAGUUCGGUCCCUAUCUGCCGUGGGCGCUGGAGAACUGAGGGGGGCUGCUCCUAGUACGAGAGGACCGGAGUGGACGCAUCACUGGUGUUCGGGUUGUCAUGCCAAUGGCACUGCCCGGUAGCUAAAUGCGGAAGAGAUAAGUGCUGAAAGCAUCUAAGCACGAAACUUGCCCCGAGAUGAGUUCUCCCUGAGACUUAGAGUCUCCUGAAGGAACGUUGAAGACGACGACGUUGAUAGGCCGGGUGUGUAAGCGCAGCGAUGCGUUGAGCUAACCGGUACUAAUGAACCGUGAGGCUUAACCUUACAACGCCGAAG
rnacentral:rRNA from 1 species